CCACCUUUAAUCCCAGGACUCCUGGAGGCAGAGUCAGGAGGAUUGCCGUGAGUUUGAGGCCAGCCUGGUCUUACAAAGUGAGUCCAGGAUAGCCAAGGCUACACAGAGAAGAGAUUAUUCAUUAUUAAUUUUGGAGGUAACAUGGCUGAGGGGUUUAUCAUCAAUCUCCCUCUAGCUUUGCUGUAGAUGGAACCUCAGAGUAAAACACAUCUCAUGGGUUAAAACUGUUAAGACAGCACCUGGUGGCACGUGCCGGAAAUUCCAGGCGGGAGCUCCUCAGCUUCACAGCAAGCUUGGGGGUCAGCCUGAGAUACACAGCAAGACCCUGCCUCCAAAACAACGAAAACCUGUUGUGCGGAACGGCCAAGGACUCUCGGGUUCAGGUUUGUAGCCCCUGGAACACCCCUGAGGUCUGCAGAGAACAGGGCUAGCACAGGGAAGCAUGGCAUCAGCUGCCUGAGGCUGUCUGGAUGCCCUCCAUCUGACCCGCCUCCUCUCCAAUCUGGCUCACCACAGAAAUCCCUAUAAAAGCCUUGCACCGAAACCUCUAAGGAAGAUGGCUUUUUAAGGCUAAGAAUCCCAGUCUUACAGCUCUACCAAUUUGUUGCAAGUAAAGCUUUUUUUAUCCUCCCUAUUACCAGGACAAUUGUCUACACCAGAAAGAGUGGAAGGCUUGAGGGGGUCAGGGUGGUUCAACAUGAGCCUGGGCGGGGUGGUGGAGAGCUGACCAGCAGACAGAAUUAGCAGCUGAAGAGAUGCUUUUAUUCAGAGUGAGGAAACACAACAUGUGAUAAAGAAAGUUCAGCCUCUCUCUGGAGGCCAGGAGUUUUUAAAGUCCUUGAAGGGUCUUCCUACCCUACUUUAGGGCUUGUCAGUUUGAGGAAAGACAGGUCGGCUGCUUGGCCCACAACUGCUGUGUCAACAUGUCCUGACAACACAGGGAAUUUGUUGACCCGGUCCAUCAGCAGGGGGCCCCACUGGCAGGAGAAGGAGCCUACAAGGCCUGUGUUUCAGGCUUUUGUCUCAGAUCCAGAGGGAAAGGAGGAAGCAAGUCAAAAUGGAAGUUCUCCGUCUUUUUUAUGUUAUUUCAGCCUACAAGCUCUCAGCUACCUCUCCGGAGCCAUGCCUGCCCGCCUGCUGCCGUGUUCCUCGCCACGACGGUCACGGACUCACCCUCUGAAACCGUGAGCAAGCCCUCAGAAAACAACAGUGGAGUAGCCUUCACCGCGCACGUGCUUCUGCCCCUGCAAAAUCCGCCAUGCCGUCCCACUACAAUGAACUGAAGUCCCUCGGAAACCACAAGCAAAAAGAAGCUCUGACUCUCUCCCGUUUCUGUCAGGCAUUUUGUCAUGGUACAACCAAUACUAGUUGUAUUAGAGUAUGGGUCAAGAAUGACAUUUAAAAAUACUUUCCCGUUUAUUCUCA